UACGCUGGCAGUGCGUCUUAAGCAUGCAAGUCAAACGGGAUGUAGCAAUACAUCUAGUGGCGAACGGGUGAGUAACGCGUGGAUGAUCUACCUACGAGAUGGGGAUAACUAUUAGAAAUAGUAGCUAAUACCGAAUAAAGUCAAUUAAUUUGUUAAUUGAUGAAAGGAAGCCUUUAAAGCUUCGCUUGUAGAUGAGUCUGCGUCUUAUUAGUUAGUUGGUAGGGUAAAUGCCUACCAAGGCGAUGAUAAGUAACCGGCCUGAGAGGGUGAACGGUCACACUGGAACUGAGAUACGGUCCAGACUCCUACGGGAGGCAGCAGCUAAGAAUCUUCCGCAAUGGGCGAAAGCCUGACGGAGCGACACUGCGUGAAUGAAGAAGGUCGAAAGAUUGUAAAAUUCUUUUAUAAAUGAGGAAUAAGCUUUGUAGGAAAUGACGAAGUGAUGACGUUAAUUUAUGAAUAAGCCCCGGCUAAUUACGUGCCAGCAGCCGCGGUAAUACGUAAGGGGCGAGCGUUGUUCGGGAUUAUUGGGCGUAAAGGGUGAGUAGGCGGAUAUAUAAGUCUAUGCAUAAAAUACCACAGCUCAACUGUGNAACUAUGUUGG
rnacentral:rRNA from 1 species